UAGAUUUUAUGAUGCUUCUUUCUAUGCUUCCGAUUUUUAAGAGUCACUUGAUUUAUAUUUCUAUAAGGACAGAUAUGGAUAUAAUAUUAUAAUAUUUGACACAGGGAUAAGGUGAGUGGACUUGCCAAGCUAGUACUAAUAUACCUUUUAAAUUUAAUUAGGUCAUUAUGUUUCCGAUGGCCAAAAUGUGGAUACAAUUUAUUUGCACCUGCAUUUCCCCAACAUAAAAUGUUUUUCACGUCACUGCCUUUAAGCGGUUUUGCUUGAUGUCGUAUUGCAAAAAGGAAAGUUUGCUUAGGACAUUGGAUUUAUCAGUCUUUGCCCACUUGCAUUAGAGGCCAGAAGAGGGGAAUAUAUUUCUCGCAUCUUCUGACUGCCUUGUGCAAACAAGCACUAUUUCUCUGUCGCCAACGCACCAAUUCGCAAAACUGUUGAGGAGCAUUUUUUGUAGUAUGAUGUAUGCUCAAUUUUUUGACCUUCAGAGAAAACAAGUGCACGAGUGGAACCAAAGUCACAAACAAAAGAUGGAUGUAUAACCAUCUAUGACAAGAAAAAACAAAACUAAGGCGUCCCGAUUAAUGAGUUUGACGGGCUUAUCAAUUAUGGAAUGGGCAAUCUGAUGGAUGCAACAGAUGUCCCUGGUAGGCAUUGAUUAUCUAUAGAGGCAUGGCAUGCAAGUGACCAACUCACCUCCCAAUAUAUAUGUACCCUUUUCAUAUCUCGUCGAGUCCGAAAGCGUGGACGAGGAAUAAGAAGAAGACGACGACAAUAUGGAAGAACAGGAAGACCCCUUCCCGACUUAGGAAUUUGAGUAAGCAUUCCAACUAGAACAAAUGACAACUAAAAGAUUUUGCAUCCGCAACCUAAGAUAACAGAACCCAACCCAGUUUGCAGGUAAGAGGGCAACAAAGACCACAGCGGGCAGAGGUAAAGGGAAGGUAGUACCAGAAAAGGUGGUGGCAUCAAAUUCUGAUUAAAUAUUGCCUUUAAUUUAUUUUGGGAGUUGUAAUUUUAAAAC
rnacentral:lncRNA from 1 species